GGAUGAAUGGGAUAAAGACUGUCUUUUUUAUUUGUAUAUAAAUUGAUUUUCAGGUGCAGAGGCCUGAAUUUUAGCGUAGGACAAGAAGACCCUAUUGAGCUUUAUCUAAUGAGGUCAAAUUGGCUAUAGUUGGGUUUGGUUGGGGCGACAGAGGAAUUCACAGAACUUCCUUUUUUUGUUUGACUUACUUGUCUUUUAUUGAGCCAGGUGACUGAUUAAAGGAACAAGCUACCAUAGGGAUAACAGGCUAAUUUUCUUUGAGAGUCCAUAUUGACAAGAAAGUUUGGCACCUCGAUGUUGGCUUAGGGUGUCCUAUUAGUGCAGAAGCUAAUAAUGGUGGGUUCGUUCAACCUUUAAAACCCUACGUGAUCUGAGUUCAGACCGG
rnacentral:rRNA from 1 species